rnacentral:rRNA from 1 species
CAUGGGGAGUACGACCGCAAGGUUAAAAAUCAAAGGAAUUGACGGGGACCCGCACAAGCGGUGGAUGAUGUGGAUUAAUUCGAAGCAACGCGAAAAACCUUACCUAUCCCUGACAUGGCAGGAACUUUCCAGAGAUGGAUUGGGGCUUGAAAGAGAACCUGCACACAGAUGCUGCAUGUCUGUCGUCAGCUCGUGUCGUGAGAUGUUGGGUUAAGUCUCGCAAAGAGCGCAACCCUUGUCAUUAGUUGGUACGAAAGGGCACUCUAAUGAGUCUGCCGGUGACAAACGGGAAGAAGGUGGGGAAGAUGUCAAGUCCUCAUGCCCUUUAUGGGUAGGGCUUCACAUGUCACACAAUGGUCGGUACAGAGGGUUGACAAGGCGAGAGGUGGAGCCAAUCCCAGAAAUCCGAUCAUAGUCCGGAUCGCAGUAUGCAACUCGAAUGCGUGAAGUCAGAAUCGCUAGUAAUCGCGUAUCAGAAUGUCGCGGAGAAUACGUUCCCGGGUCUUGUACACACCGCCCGUCACACCGUGGGAGUGGGUUAUACCAGAAGUGGCUAGUCUAACCGCAAGGAGGACGGUCACCACGGUAGGACUCAUGACUGGGGUG